rnacentral:rRNA from 1 species
UACAGAGACAUGCAAGCGUUAUUCGGAAUUCACUGGGCGUAAAGGGUGCGCAGGCGGCCGGGUGUGUCAAGAUGUGGAAAUACCCGAGGCUCAACCUCGGAACUGCGCUCUGAAACUACUCGGCUAGAGUACUGGAGAGGGUAACGGAAUUCACGGUGUAGCAGUGAAAUGCGUAGAUAUCGUGAGGAACACCGAGGCGAAGGCGGUACCUGGACAGUUACUGACGCUCAGGCACGAAAGCGUGGGGAGCAAAAGG